rnacentral:misc_RNA from 1 species
UUAAGUUCAGCGGGUGGUCCUACUCGAUUUGAGGUCAAGUUGUCAGUUGUUGUCUGAAGACAGUUGGAAAGCACAGAGCUCCUGAUCAGCCACCCUCUUGCGAGGUGCCAGCGAAGACACUUAUCACGCCGUACUAUGUCCAAUCAAGGAGGUGCAACUAACAUAUUUCAGGUGAGCCACAGUCAAGCAGCAACACCCAA